rnacentral:RNase_P_RNA from 1 species
GGAGAGGGCCGAGUGGUCGCUGCGCGGGUGCUUUUCGGAGUGCGUCGCGUGGAGGAAAGUCCGGGCUCCACAGGACACGGUGGUGGGUAACGCCCACCGUCCGCAAGGACAGGGAAAGUGCCACAGAGAACAGACCGCCGAUCGGGGGUCCGCCAGGAUCCCAGGAGGCAAGGGUGAAACGGUGCGGUAAGAGCGCACCAGCAGGCCGGGUGACCGGCCUGGCUCGGUAAACCCCACUGGGAGCAAGAUCAAGCAGGGAGCCUUGUUGGACUGGUCCGGUCCGCCGUGACUCCCGGGUCGAUCGCACGAGGCGACGGGCAACCGUCGUCCCAGAGAAAUGACCACUCUCGACACAACCCGGCUUACAGGCCCUCUCCGUCC